rnacentral:rRNA from 1 species
GACUCUCGGCAACGGAUAUCUCGGCUCUCGCAUCGAUGAAGAACGUAGCGAAAUGCGAUACUUGGUGUGAAUUGCAGAAUCCCGUGAACCAUCGAGUCUUUGAACGCAAGUUGCGCCCCAAGCCUUUAGGCCGAGGGCACGUCUGCCUGGGUGUCACGC